rnacentral:lncRNA from 1 species
UUGCCAAGGACUGCUAGAAAAUUCUGAGUUUUGAAUUCUCAGACUUCCUCCCAAUCACACAGAUAUCUGAGGCAUGGGGGGCCUUUAUAAACACCCCCUUUUUCCUAGAUAUUUUCAUACUAGUCUGCUGGUCCAUCUGGAUGGCAAAGGAUUAAUAUCACUUUCAGAAACAAGAAACCAACUAUUGAAGGCUGCAAAAGAGGUGUGGGUUGAAUUACUCCUGCAGCUUCAUAGGACAGAAGCCCAGAGACACCCCUUUCAGAUUCAUGGAUUGAAUCUCACUUGUAAUUUUCCUGAUCUUUUUUUCACUAUUUCUUUGUUUCAUGAUUUUCUUGUUUUAAUUUUUCUUUGGUUGUGCCUUGUACUCGUUAUACUUUACUUUUAAUAAAAUUGCAGUAGGGGGCUCCUUGCCACUCUUGGUUCCUAAAAAAAUCAGGAACCACGAUCAGGUGUGACCAGCCUCAGGUGAGUACAUCCAUGAGCGCAACUGUCUUCUCCAUUCUCUGGUCUCAUGCCCUCACAUAACAACUCCAACCCAGUGUUUUCCAUUAAGAGACGUAAACUGCAGACGAGGCACUCCUAUCUCUUAUCCGACACCAUCUGCUUUUCACUAAAGCUUCCCACCGCAGCAGCAGCAGCUCUUAAUUAAAAGGUUUCCCACCUCCUGAUUCCUCUCAAUCCUAGCUUGGUGGAUUCUUCUAUGAUAGUUGGAGACAGUAACCUAGAGAACAGAGAGAUGGCUUGGCUUUUUAAAUGUAUGCGUGUGGACUGCAGGGGAUGAUGGUUGCAGUUGUUAUAUUGCGGCAUGAGACAUGAAAAGCUAAGGCGGCUGCUUGCACAAUGCAGAGGAUAUAUGAAAUAAGGAAAAACUCUAUAUAACUCCCAGACCUAUGAAAUUAUUUACAUUAAGCAUGUAGAAGCCAGCAUUGUGGAUAAAGGAGGCAGGCCAAACCAUGUGCAUGGCAUCAAGCACCUUCCUGGAGAGCUAGUUGUUGGAGGAGUUGAACUCAGGUUGUCAGGGAGCAGGAUGGUGACAUCCAAGAGGGGGGCUUGUGAGUAGACUGUACUAGAGCUUGAAUGUCCUGAUCAUAAUAAGACGUAUACUGGAGAGAUUUUUGUUUGUUAAGAUCAAGGUGGAGAAGGUCACCAAGCCAUGUGAGGGCAUCCAAGACGCAGACGAAGAUGCCAUCAAAGGGCACGUAGAGGAGAAUGAUGUUGCGAAUGUCGGGGAGGAGUGUGCCAAGCAUGCUGUUGUGGUUGUUCCCACAGUGAUCGAGCAUGCUCACCCACACUCUCUACAUAUGCCACCUCGGUGUACCAUUCCACCUCCUCCUGAGGUUUUGGCGAUGCCCCCCAUGGUGGACGAUGCCCAGCAUGACCAAAGCCAGCCAGCCUCCACCUUCUCCUACAGAAAAUGGUAGCCAUGGACGGUACCAAUCCCAAUGUUUCGUCGUCGUGUAGUGCUCCUCCCUUCACUGUCCACGUUCUGCCUCCAGAUGCACCACAGAGCAGGCGACGUGUGGCUCCAGGAGGAGGAAGGGAUCAUUGAAUGUGCCAUGUAAAGGACUGAUGCCAACAAGGCCCGAGAUGCGUGUAGGGAAGGCAUAUAGAGAAAAAUAUGAGCGAGGUGGUUCUAACACAGGCCC